rnacentral:rRNA from 1 species
CAAUAGCGUAUAUUAAAGUUGUUGCAGUUAAAAAGCUCGUAGUUGGAUUUCGGGGCCCCGGACGCUCGUUGCGUUGUCUGCUGGACUUGUCCUGUGGGCGCGUGGCGGUCGUCGGUCUCUGAGUCGGAUCGGUCCGCCGAGAGGCGUGCACUGACCGACGGCCCCUGUUGUCUCUCGGGUUGCCCGCCUGCACUUAACUGUUGCGGACGGGGAGUUCGGGACGUUUACUUUGAACAAAUUAGAGGGUUCCAAGCAGGCCGUUUGCUUUGAAUACAUUAGCAUGGAAUAAUGGAAUAGGGCUGCGUGGCCUGUCGUCUGACGGCGGGUCCUCGUGUCCUAUUUUGUUGGUUUUCGGGACCGCAGUCAUGGUCAAGAGGGACAGUUGGGGGCAUUCGUAUUCAGUUGUCAGAGGUGAAAUUCUUGGAUUUACGGAAGACGAACAACUGCGAAAGCAUUUGCCAAGGAUGUUUUCAUUAA